GGAGACCGGCGCGGGUGCUGGAGGUCAGCAGGGGCCGUGGGCGGUGGACGCUGGAAUGCCUUGGGUUCCGAGGGACCCAGCUGCCUGAAUGGACACGAGGCAUCCACAUUAAUCUGGAUAAAGGCUGCUUCUUCAGCCACAGCUAAGGUGCAUGUAAUAGGAAUGAGAGCCACCUGUGUUUCAGAAAGCGUCUGGGAUUUUAGAGCUGCUUGUAACUGCAGCCUAACACAGCCUCAGCCGACUGAUACAUCCAGUGUCGUCAAAACAGAGCAGUGAACCAAGCAGCCGGCUCAUUGUUUGAGAAACAGUUGUUUCAUGGGUGAAUUGACCUCAUCUUCGGCAGCCACCGGUUUGCUAAGCAUUUACUUUGAACAUUUCUAUGGCUGGAGUACAAUGGCACGAUCUCGGCUCACUGCAACCUCCGCCUCCCAGGUUCAAGCGAUUCUCCUGCCUCAGCCUCCCGAUAGCUGGGAUUACAGUUUUCCAUAGACCACAUGAGUUCUGAUAAUCCUGAAAACGAUUUGCUCUCUUCUCCAAUGCUGAAUGAAGACUACCUCAUCCCUUCCUUCUUGCUUCUAACAGCAGAUCAGAUCUCCAGGUUCGAAGUUCCUAGAUGUGCUUUCUGAUCCUGGUUAUUCUUUGUCAGCCUUCAAAGCCAAAGCCUUACUGACGUGCAGAUCCAAGGAAAAGUUUCUUUCCUCAUUGUGUGUUGCCUAUGUUUAUAACCACAUACACACAUAAACAUGUAAACUCUGCAUUUCAGAAAGCAAUGAUUUGUUAUCCAUAUCUUAUCUAUACAUUUCUGCUUUGACAUUUUAUUAAAAACAUAAAAAU
ensembl:lncRNA novel transcript